rnacentral:lncRNA from 1 species
AAAUUAAUGCAACAUUUUUAUUCAUGCAAUCAAUGUGAUUGAGUAACAAUCACUGUAAUAAAAACUUGUAUUCUGAUAUCUAAUACAUUUCCUGUAAUCUGAAUAAGUAAUCUCAUAUUUGUCCAUUCUUCAAAAUCGCAAUAAUAAAUGUAGACAAUAAUUUCUUAAUUUACAGUAUUGUAUUGUAUGUCCUGCCUAUGUGCGUGUGGCAUUUAAGUUUAUCUUGUGUGUACAUUCUGAAUUUGUUUAAAUUUUGCAUUUACUAUAAAAGUCUCAUUUCCCUGUUAUUGGUAAACAUUAGACUCAGUCUCCUCUUACAGAACAAUAACAAUAAAAUGUGUGUGACUGUUACCUAUAUUUAGAAGUGACUUGUGAAUUUUUCUCUAAGGCCAAUUAAUAGAAGAAUAAAGCAAAAAAAUGUGUAUUUAUUGAUGUUAAUACUUCACUUCAGUCAAGACUGUUAUUAAAACUUGGCUUUUUCUUAAAUACAGUGGAACUCGUCUUUAGAGACCACCCUUUCUGUCAUGAAAAAAGAGGUCUUUAUUAACAAGUUUUCUUACAAAUGAUGUUAAGUUUAUAAAAUGAAAAUGAAAUGUGACAGAAGAAUGGUGUUCUUUACCUAUAUUUUCUGUCACAAGCACAGAUGUCAUUUAAAUGAUACAAAAUAGUACGUUUAGCAGUGAUUCUCUCGUUUCCAUUAGAAGGCAGAUAACAGUGUUCUAUUUUUAGAUUUUGGGGCAUAAAUAUUUUAAUUUGUUCCCAUUUCAUGUUAGUGACUACUAAUGUGUUUCCAGUAAACUCCAUUUGGGAAAAAUUGUCAAUUUAUGCCUGUAAAUCUUCAAAAACAAAACUUUAACUCCAAAUCUAUAAUUUUCUCCAAAUCUAUAAUUUUCUCAAAAACAAUGUUCUGUAUUCUGUUUUGGAUUUGAUUGAAGCUUGGGCAUCUGACAGACCCGUCAUCUUCACAUUUACUUUUUAUAGUUAAGAAAAUAUAGGUUAAAGGUUAUUCAGAUUUUCAGAUUUGACUCUAUAUUGUAAAUAUGAUAUGGUCAUUUUAUUUUUCCCAAGCAAAACAAAUUUGUGCUUGUUCUACUGUAUAUUACUUUUUAGGAAAAU